rnacentral:rRNA from 1 species
GAUAAACGCUGGCGGCGUGCCUAAUACAUGCAAGUCGAGCGAACGGACGAGAAGCUUGCUUCUCUGAUGUUAGCGGCGGACGGGUGAGUAACACGUGGAUAACCUACCUAUAAGACUGGGAUAACUUCGGGAAACCGGAGCUAAUACCGGAUAAUAUUUUGAACCGCAUGGUUCAAAAGUGAAAGACGGUCUUGCUGUCACUUAUAGAUGGAUCCGCGCUGCAUUAGCUAGUUGGUAAGGUAACGGCUUACCAAGGCAACGAUGCAUAGCCGACCUGAGAGGGUGAUCGGCCACACUGGAACUGAGACACGGUCCAGACUCCUACGGGAGGCAGCAGUAGGGAAUCUUCCGCAAUGGGCGAAAGCCUGACGGAGCAACGCCGCGUGAGUGAUGAAGGUCUUCGGAUCGUAAAACUCUGUUAUUAGGGAAGAACAUAUGUGUAAGUAACUGUGCACAUCUUGACGGUACCUAAUCAGAAAGCCACGGCUAACUACGUGCCAGCAGCCGCGGUAAUACGUAGGUGGCAAGCGUUAUCCGGAAUUAUUGGGCGUAAAGCGCGCGUAGGCGGUUUUUUAAGUCUGAUGUGAAAGCCCACGGCUCAACCGUGGAGGGUCAUUGGAAACUGGAAAACUUGAGUGCAGAAGAGGAAAGUGGAAUUCCAUGUGUAGCGGUGAAAUGCGCAGAGAUAUGGAGGAACACCAGUGGCGAAGGCGACUUUCUGGUCUGUAACUGACGCUGAUGUGCGAAAGCGUGGGGAUCAAACAGGAUUAGAUACCCUGGUAGUCCACGCCGUAAACGAUGAGUGCUAAGUGUUAGGGGGUUUCCGCCCCUUAGUGCUGCAGCUAACGCAUUAAGCACUCCGCCUGGGGAGUACGACCGCAAGGUUGAAACUCAAAGGAAUUGACGGGGACCCGCACAAGCGGUGGAGCAUGUGGUUUAAUUCGAAGCAACGCGAAGAACCUUACCAAAUCUUGACAUCCUUUGACAACUCUAGAGAUAGAGCCUUCCCCUUCGGGGGACAAAGUGACAGGUGGUGCAUGGUUGUCGUCAGCUCGUGUCGUGAGAUGUUGGGUUAAGUCCCGCAACGAGCGCAACCCUUAAGCUUAGUUGCCAUCAUUAAGUUGGGCACUCUAAGUUGACUGCCGGUGACAAACCGGAGGAAGGUGGGGAUGACGUCAAAUCACCAUGCCCCUUAUGAUUUGGGCUACACACGUGCUACAAUGGACAAUACAAAGGGCAGCGAAACCGCGAGGUCAGGCAAAUCCCAUAAAGUUGUUCUCAGUUCGGAUUGUAGUCUGCAACUCGACUACAUGAAGCUGGAAUCGCUAGUAAUCGUAGAUCAGCAUGCUACGGUGAAUACGUUCCCGGGUCU